CUACCUUAGGCCGAAGCUUCUCUCUACUGCAAUGGGCAAAAGCUCCUCAUCAAUGAGCAAAGCCAAAUCCGCAGCAAUUGGCAAAACCCCUCUCUACAAUGGGUGACAACCUCACUCCAUGGGCUGAAAGUCAUUCUCUUCAAUGGGCAAAAGUCAAAUAACAUUUUUCAUCAUUCUCUUAUUUAUAGUGUUAAUUCUCUCAAUUCUAAUAUGAUUAGAAGUCCUACUUAAUUUAGGAAUAACACUAAAACAAGAAUUCUACUCUAUAUAUAAAAUAUUCAUUUAUCCUAUUGAGGAAUAUUUCUCCUACUCAAAUUAGGAAAAGGUCUCUUCAAAUCUUACUAUGAUUUUGAGUCAUAAUUCUAACAAGAAUCAAAUCUCAUAUGAAAGUAUAAAAUUUGAACUUAGUGUGAUGUGCCUAUCUGAAGUUAAAUGGAGAGGCUUUCAGUCAAAUGCCCUCAUGUGCUUGAAAUAUUUUUGUCAUAAUGAUUUUCCUUUGAGACUAACAAUUAAGUUGAACAGCUAUACAUCAUUUUAGUUAUCACCCAAACUCAUUCUUCAGUAAAUAAAUUUUGGAGAUGCCUUUAAAUUACAUGCAUUUAUUGGUAUUUCAUUUGAAUAGUUUCCUAGCCUAAUAAAAUCAUUCUCUGUAGUUCUAUGCUGAGUCAGACUUCACAGACAAUGAUGAUUUUGGGGAGAAUUGUUGGACAUCACAUCGGAUAAUUUUGAGUCAUUUAUGGUUGCAUCUCAAGACUAUCAAGAUAUCCGGCCUGAUGGAAACAAAAAGUCAUUUUACACGUGAACAUGUUUGGCAUUUCUUGGGUUUCUGCUCAAGAAUGCCAGUGUGCUGGAGGAGAUGAUUAUAUAUGGUUCUCGUCAUUGUCUUUGUAAAACAGAUGUUCUCAAUACUCAACUCAACUCAACUAA
rnacentral:misc_RNA from 1 species